rfam:Myotis brandtii contig269380, whole genome shotgun sequence.
AUCACUUCUUGGCCUUUUGGCUAAGAUCAAGCAUAGGCAUCUGUUCUUAUCAAGUUUAACAUCUGAUAUAUCCUCUAUCCGAGGACAACGUACUAAAUGGUUUAUUGGAGCAAGGGGAAAAAAAUUUUU